rnacentral:rRNA from 1 species
GACGAACGCUGGCGGCGUGCUUAACACAUGCCAGUCGAACGGAAAGGCCCUGCUUUUGUGGGGUGCUCGAGUGGCGAACGGGUGAGUAACACGUGAGUAACCUGCCCUUGACUUUGGGAUAACUUCAGGAAACUGGCUAAUACCGGAUAGGAGCUCCUGCUGCAUGGUGGGGGUUGGAAAGUUUCGGCGGUUGGGGAUGGACUCGCGGCUUAUCAGCUUGUUGGUGGGGUAGUGGCUUACCAAGGCUUUGACGGGUAGCCGGCCUGAGAGGGUGACCGGCCACAUUGGGACUGAGAUACGGCCCAGACUCCUACGGGAGGCAGCAGUGGGGAAUAUUGCACAAUGGGCGGAAGCCUGAUGCAGCAACGCCGCGUGCGGGAUGACGGCCUUCGGGUUGUAAACCGCUUUCGCCUGUGACGAAGCGUGAGUGACGGUAAUGGGUAAAGAAGCACCGGCUAACUACGUG